rnacentral:rRNA from 1 species
UACGGAGGGAGCUAGCGUUGUUCGGAAUUACUGGGCGUAAAGCGCACGUAGGCGGCUUUGUAAGUUAGAGGUGAAAAGCCCGGGGCUCAACUCCGGAACUGCCUUUAAGACUGCAUCGCUUGAAUCCAGGAGAGGUGAGUGGAAUUCCGAGUGUAGAGGUGAAAAUUCGUAGAUAUUCGGAAAGAACACCAGUGGCGAAG